rnacentral:lncRNA from 1 species
UAUCAUUUAAAUCACCUUACACAAUAGAACAACGAAAAACGAUGUGUGGCGGGCAAUCUGUUCAUAUGGGCAUGAGUCGAGGUGUCGGGGCAUUUCACUUGAUAUUAGAACUAGAAUAAGAGGUAAGGUACGCGCACAGCGAAACAGAUGAUGGGAGGGAAGAGGGAAGGAGAAGGGGUAUAUGUCUUUGCAGCAUAAAUUAUAUCGGUUG